rnacentral:rRNA from 1 species
CACGGGGGUUGCGAGCGUUGUCCGGAAUUACUAGGCGUAAAGGGCAGGCAGGCAGAUCCAUAAGUUUAUCGUUUAAGGCGUCGGCUUAACCGGCGUAGGGCGGUAGAUACUGUGGAUCUGGAAUGCGGUUGGGGAAGACAGAAUUCCUGGUGUAGCGGUGGAAUGCGCAGAGAUCAGGAGGAAUACCGAAGGCGAAGGCAGUCUUCCAAGCCGUUAUUGACGCUCAACUGCGAAGGUGUGGGUAUCAAACAGGAUUAGAUACCCGCGUAGUCCCUGAG